rnacentral:misc_RNA from 1 species
AACGCACCUUGCGCUCCUUGGUAUUCCGAGGAGCAUGCCUGUUUGAGUGUCAUUGAAUUCUCAACUAUGACUUGAUUUAUUUCUAGUCGUAGCUUGGAUUUGGGAGCUGCCGGUGUUGAACCCCUCUCGGAGGGGGGAGGACGUCGGCUCUCCUCAAAAGCAUUAGCAAAGGCAAAAGCUCUGCAUGAACGGCCUUCGACGUGAUAAUGAUCGUCGCGGCUGGAGUGUUGGCGCAUGAAUGGUCUGUGCUUCUAAUCUCGCGUGCAUGGCCGCUUCGGUGGCAAUGCCCGACUUCCUUGAACUUGACCUCAAAUCAGGUAGGACUACCCGCUGAACUUAA